rnacentral:tRNA from 1 species
UAUUCUUACAGUUUAAGAGAACAUGACAAUGAAGAUGUCAAAGUAAAAAGAAUAA